AUUGAACGCUGGCGGCAUGCUUUACACAUGCAAGUCGAACGGUAACAGGGUGCUUGCACCGCUGACGAGUGGCGAACGGGUGAGUAAUGCAUCGGAAUGUACCGUGUAAUGGGGGAUAGCUCGGCGAAAGCCGGAUUAAUACCGCAUACGCCCUGAGGGGGAAAGUGGGGGACCGAAAGGCCUCACGUUAUACGAGCAGCCGAUGUCUGAUUAGCUAGUAGGUGAGGUAAAGGCUCACCAAGGCGUCGAUCAGUAGCGGGUCUGAGAGGAUGAUCCGCCACACUGGGACUGAGACACGGCCCAGACUCCUACGGGAGGCAGCAGUGGGGAAUUUUGGACAAUGGGCGCAAGCCUGAUCCAGCCAUGCCGCGUGUCUGAAGAAGGCCUUCGGGUUGUAAAGGACUUUUGUCCGGGAGCAAAUCCUAGUGGUUAAUAACCGCUGGGUCUGAGAGUACCGGAAGAAUAAGCACCGGCUAACUACGUG
rnacentral:rRNA from 1 species